rnacentral:lncRNA from 1 species
AAGCCUGCAACCUAGGUUUAGCCAAUGAAUCCAAGGGUAUGAAUGAGCUUACAUUGGGAGAUUUACAAUGAGGAGAGAUAAGGGCUGAGAUCCAAAUCUUGAGUAAUUUCAAUAUUUCAUGGCCAGACACUGAAGAAUGAGCUGUAGAAGGAACAGAGAGUUAGAAGCUAGAAAAGUACAUGGAGAACCAUACAACUGUGGUGUCAUAAAAGACUUAUCUUCUGCUGUGUUACCCUGGUUGACUCCAGUUUGGCUUCUACUCCAUGGAAGAGGUUUUACAUUUCAUCUGGCCCUGUGAAUGUGGACUCCGUUUCUCCCCUCCCUGUGCUGACAUUUCUUCCAUUUUGUCCCCCUGAGUGGUGCAAGACAGGAACUUGGAUGGAGCCAGAGGCCAUUAUCCUUAGCAAACUAACACAGGAACAGAAAACCAAAUGCCACAUGUUCUCACUUGUAAGUGGAAGCUCAAUGAUGAGAACACAUGGACGCAAAGAAGAGAACAACAGACACCGGGGCCUACUUAAGGGUGGGGGGUGGGAGGAGGGAGAGGAUCAGAAAAAAUAACUACUCGGUACUGGGCUUUAGUCCCUGGGUAAUGAAAUAAUCUGUGCAACAAACCCUUGUGACAUAAGUUUACCUAUAUAGCAGACUUGCACAUGCACCCCUGAACCUAAAAUAAAAGUUUUGAAAAAUGGGCAAAUGAUUUGAAUAGAUGUUUCUCAAAAGAAGACCUACAAUGGCAAAAAGGCAUAUGAAAAGAUGCUUAACAUCAUUGAUCAUCAGAGAAAUGCAAAUCAAAACUAUGAUGAGCAAAUCCUGGCAAGGAUGUGGAGAAAAGGGAACCCUCGUACCCUGUUGGUGGGAAUGUAAAUUAGGACAAACACUAUGGAGAACAGUGGUUCUCAAAAAACUAAAAACGGAGCUACCAUAUGAUCCAGCAAUUCCACUGCUGGGUGUAUACUGAAAAGAAAGGAAAUCCAUAUAUCAAACAGAUAUCUGCACUCCUAUGUUUGUUGCAGCACUGUUCACAAUAGCUAAGGUUUGGAAGCAACCUAAGUGUCCAUCAACAGAUGAAUGGAUAAAGAAAAUGUGGUACAUGUACACAAGGGAGUACUAUUCAGCCAUAAAAAAGAAUGAGAUCCAGUUAUUUGCAGCAACAUGGAUAAAACUGGAGAUCAUUAUAUGAAGUGAAAUAAAC